rnacentral:rRNA from 1 species
AGCAGCCGCGGUAAUUCCAGCUCCAAUAGCGUAUAUUAAAGUUGUUGCAGUUAAAAAGCUCGUAGUUGAAUUUCGGGAUCAAUACGUCGGUCGUGCUUCGGUACGUACUGGCGUAAUUGAUUUCUCCCUUCUGACGAACCAUGAUGUCAUUAACUUGGUGUCAUGGGAAAUCAGGACUGUUACUUUGAAAAAUUAGAGUGUUUAAAGCAGGCUCACGCUUGAAUACAUUAGCAUGGAAUAAUGAAAUAGGACGUUCGAUCCUAUUUUGUUGGUUUUUAGGAUCAACGUAAUGAUUAAUAGGGAUAGUUGGGGGCAUUAGUAUUCAAUUGUCAGAGGUGAAAUUCUUGGAUUUAUUGAAGACUAACUACUGCGAAAGCAUUUGCCAAGGAUGUUUUCAUUAAUCAAGAACGAAAGUUAGGGGAUCGAAGACGAUCAGAUACCGUCGUAGUCUUAACCAUAAACUAUGCCGACUAGGGAUCGGAUGAUGUUAAUUUUAUAAUGACUCAUUCGGCUAACCG